UCAGAGGCAGGAGGCGGGUUUUAGCGCUGUCAAUCACAAUCUCAUGUGGCUGCUCAUCCCUAUGCUGUAGCUAGCGCAGCCUGUUGUAAAUGCUCAGUCUAGUUAGCAUAGCUACCAGCGAUAGCAGAUACACAUUUUUCCUGUUAUGAUCAGUUGAUUGACAGCGCUAAGCCCCUCCUCCUGGUUCUGAUUGGUGGUUUUUGGCUGGAACGGUGCUUUACUUUAACCAGUAAUAGUUCAGGUGGAGGAGAUUGAUUUUUUCACAGAUUAUCUGUCUCAUAACAAACUGUGACGACAUGAUGGCAGCUUUAACAAAUAUGGAGAAAACAUUUUUAAAUGAAAGUUAUAAACUGCAGCUUGAAUAAAAUGCAACUACAUAAAAUUUUUUGAGAAGUCUGGAUGCUUUAUGUACAUUUUGCAUGUUGCCUCUGACUUGCUGGUGGGGAAACAUUUCAGUAUCUAAAACUGAUAGAAAAAUGUGAUCAACCUGCAAACUGUGUGAGGACUGUUGGAUGUAAAAUUCAUGAGCAGCAAAUAUUGUGCUAGUAUCAGCAUUGAACCACAGAAAGCAAAGCUUUAAAAUUGUGACGCUAUGAUGGGUCAGAUGGACUCAAGAAAUUGUAACAGCAGCUGCGUGGGGGGCCAAUUUAAGUUUUGGUCCUGGGGCCCAAGAUUCCUGGCGGCUGGUCUGGAGCGUCAUUGGGAUCUUCGACACGGACGGGAACGGGGAGAUCGACUUCAUCGGCACGUAUGAACAGUUCAGUUACGUAUGAACAGUUCAGUUACGUAUGAACUUUGUCUCCAUCAUGAUGUUAUGAUUUAAAUCUGAAUUUCUUUACUGCUUUGAACAGAUGAGAGGUUUUAAAUUUGUAUUUAGAAAAUAAUUUCCAACAUUAUUAAAACUUGUCCAGUUCAGAGUGACGAGGAUCAGAUUUAGUUCAGUGAAGAAACGGAGUCAGUCUGAACGUCAACAUGGACAGCUUUUAAUAAAUCAUUAUUUAAUAAAUCAUUGUUUCUAAUGGGGAAAAUAUUCUGAUCAUUUUCUGAUAACUUAAUAAAUGUUGAGUUCUGGUCCAGUUCAGGUUCCUGACUUUCAGAUGGGGGGUCAAAGGUCAUCCGGCGGUUCUGGAUCUGAGGAGGAAAUGUUUAGACUUUAGAGAUUUGGACUGACUGAUUAUUGAUCAUUUAUCUGUGGCUGAACCUGCUGUGCUCCGGUGACCAUGUCCGGUUCUGGUCCCGGCCCAUCGGUCACAGCAGAUUGAUAAUUGAUCAUCAGGAGCGUGUUUGACCCCGGUUUGACCCCGGUUUGACCCUGCUGUCCUCCGCCCCUCAGAGUUCAUCAAAGGAGCGUCUCAGUUGGAGGGAACCAGCAGCAGAAGCUCCACUGUCCAGUCGUCUUCCGGGUCAACGACGUGGAUAAGAACGGCGAGCUGUUCCAGGUGCUGCAGGACGCCAUCGAUAAAACCGUCCUGAAGGCGACCGAGUUUUGCACAGUGAGCGGGUCCGCUCCAGAACUGACCACUUUUGCAGAACCGACUGUCCUCUGACCUCACUUCCUGUUCCUCUGCAGAUUGUGGGCGGGCUGAACUUCACCAAGAAGAUGGUUGUGGACGUGUAAUUGGACCAGAACCGUCAGCAGAACCGGGUCAGAUGGGAGGUUCUGGAUCUGGACCUGGUGGUGUCUCAUGAGCAUGGACACACCCAGCUGGUCCAGAAGGUUCUGGUCCAGAAGGUUCUGGUCCUCAAUGAAACCCAUCAAACCUGAAGUGAAGCUUGUAGAUGUUCUUACUUUGACUAGACUUGAGAUGUUUAUUGAUGGAUGACGGCCUCCUGUGAUUGGCUGAUGGGCGCCACGGCUGAAUUAUUAAUAUAACUAAUGUUUAUAUCUGAAUAUUAAUCGCGUGAAGAAACUUUUUCUCUUGUGAUUUUAAACUCAUUUAUUUAAUGGAAAAACACAAAUUUCAAAUUUGUAAUAGAAACGUUGAAAAUAUUUUCACCAUUUUAUAAAUUUAUUUCAGUAACAAAGCUACACACAGUUAGCCGUUUAGCCUGCUAUCUUCCUUAGCUGGGCUCUGGGUUUUCUAAUAACAGGAGGCUCCACCAGGUGGCGCUCUCUCCACAGCCUGAGCCUCCAUAAAACGAAAGCUGGAAGCUGGAGGCCAGGUGUUCAUUUCCUGUGUGUGAGACCAGGUGUGUGUCGGGCUCACGCUGUUUGCUGGCUGUGUGUUUGGAGGAAAACUGUUUUAAAUCGAUUCUCUUAAUGACUUUGUGCUGAUGUGUGUUUUUAUUCAAAGCUGCUUUAUUAAUGACGCAGCGCAGCGUCACCUGGGCGUGACGCCGCAGGUAGGUUGAUACAUUAGUCUCUAUUAAUCAGAAUGAAUUGGAUGGUUUUGGUUUUAUAUAGUGUUUUUUUUUUGGUAGGGCUGCACCAGAUUUAUUACAUCUAGUUUAACUUCAGAGGUCUGGUUUAUGCGAUGCAGGUAUUCAGUGUUUGAAUGUUUUAGAUCGACUUGAUUAAAAUGAUUUAAUAAGCAUUAAGUAAUUUUUGUCUUUUUGUUUUAUCACUGCUUCCUUCUAGAGUUUGGUUUUCUUGUUAGUGCGUCCAGUUUGGGUUGUUUGUGACGUCAGACUGACAACCUAACAUUGUUUAUUAUUGUUUAGUUAUUAUUUUCCUGAAUACUCAGGUUUCAAUGGCUGUUGAUCUUAAAUAUCUGAGAGCCGAUCCUGUUGGAGUGAUCCUCAGUUUGGAUUGCAUGUGAUCAUUCUGCAGUGAAUCCAGUGGAUCUUCAGUUUUCAGUGGUUUUUAAAUUUGGUUGAACUUUAUUGGAUUGACUACAAAUGGAUAAAGUUAACGGGAAACUCUCUUAUUUAUGUAACAAUAAAUAUUGUUAAUUAACUU